AUUGAACGCUGGCGGCAGGCCUAACACAUGCAAGUCGAGCGAGCGGCGGACGGGUGUGUAAUGUCUGGGAAACUGCCUGAUGGAGGGGGAUAACUACUGGAAACGGUAUCUAAUACCGCAUACCAUCAGAUGUGCCCAGAUGGGAUUAGCUAGUAGGUGGGGUAAUGGCUCACCUAGGCGACGAUCCCUAUCUGGUCUGAGAGGAUGACCAGCCACACUGGAACGGAGACACGGCCCAGACUCCUACGGGAGGCAGCAGUGGGGAAUAUUGGACAAUGGGCGAAAGCCUGAUCCAGCCAUGCCGCGUGUGUGAAGAAGGCCUUCGGGUUGUAAAGCACUUUCGGCAGGGAAGCGGUACCCGCAGAAGAAGCACCGGCUAACUACGUGCCAGCAGCCGCGGUAAUAC
rnacentral:rRNA from 1 species